GAGGGUACAGCUCAAUGGCAGAGUGCUUGCUUAGCAUACAUGAGGUCCUGAGUUCAAUCCCCGGUGCCUCCA
rnacentral:tRNA from 1 species